UCUUAGAAUUGUCUUCAGAUAUAAACUCCUUAUCCUUGCAGCUUGUCUUUCUCCCGUAAUCACCCAGCAAGACACCUCUAGAACAGGGGAAAACAUAAAACAAAAUUGCUUUCUUCCUUAACAAGAACCAAUUUUUUUUGUAUAUAGUAGUUGUGUUUUAUUAAUUUUACAUAAGCUAAUUAAUAGCAUGAUCUAUUAUUUUCUUACUUCUUAUAUAUUAAUGCUCACUUGAGGUUAAAGAGAGUAUUACUUACGAAGAAAGGCUGCUACAAAUGUCCCAAGUCCAAGGUAGACAAAUUUCAAACAAAUCUAAAACGAAGAAAAACAAACAAAGUAAA